rnacentral:sRNA from 1 species
UACGAUGUGGAAUCGUAAGGGUGAGAACCGUAAAGGUUCGAGUCUCGCUAAGCGAGACAACAUCACGCAGUGAUGGCCCGAAGGGUGAGGCUGAAAGCCGAAUAAUCCCGCACGUUCCACCA